rnacentral:rRNA from 3 species
UCCGUAGGUGAACCUGCGGAAGGAUCAUUCUU